UAGUGUAGUGGUUAGCACGUCUGCUUUACACACAGAAAGUCCUGGGUUCGCACCCCAG
rfam:Pteropus alecto contig162860, whole genome shotgun sequence.